CAGAAACUUAUAUAAUAUAUAAGAACAUCGAUCAUCAUAAAAGAAGUGACAUAAACAUUUUAUUUAAAGUAAGAAAAGGUUGGAAGAUGGAAGAAAGGAAAGAUGGUAGGUAGUCCUUCAUCCAAUAAGAGUGGAAGAAGGAGUGUAAAAGAAAAGAAGAAAGAAACAUUGGAAUAUGUGACUGGUAGCGGGAAUGAGAUCAAGCCCUGGUGAGUCCACAGGCAUUAAAAGCCAUGCUUAUCAAUAUAGUCAUGCGUGAUCUAGUUUGAGGGGGAACUGGGACAAUAUUGCUAGGUAGGUCAUUGAUAAUGCAACGAUAAGCUUGGUAAGGACUCAACCCCUUAAGGCGGGAGCAGCAAGAAGAAAAGCUUCCCCCAUUGUACAGACACGCAGUAUACAACCCAGCUGUAUUAUUUAUAGGACAUGUUCCCAAAUUUUGAGACCUCACCAUUGAGACUGAUAGCAGACUCAGAGAGAGCAACACUGCCAAAACAUAUUUCAUCCAACCCAUUGAUCACAACACCAAAUUCUUACAACACUACUUCCUUUCUUUUC
rnacentral:lncRNA from 1 species